AUGAACACCCAGCAAGAAACUGAGCAAAUGUUUCCCAAGUUGCUGCUCUCUUGGCUUUCUGAAGUGCAGAAGAGGCAUGGGGAGCCAUCCCAAACGCAGCAGGUGGUGACCUCUACAGAUAAUCUUCAUCAGAAUGAAACAUUUGAAAGACGAAGAAAAAAUGAAAAGCAUCUUCACUGUUUGCACCAUAUGUAUAAUUUUUCCCUUCAGAACAUGGUUCUAUCCAAGAGGCUUCUAGAAGAAAAUGGACAAUUUGUCAACAUCACAAAAGAGCAAAGUGUUCAUGAUCUGGUGGAAUAUUUAUUUCCAAGUAAGCAUGAAGGAUCUGAAAUGAAUCCAAACAGGAUGAUUGUACGUGCAAAGCAACAGGAAAUACAUCAUAAGGACUUAUCAAAAAUAUUCAGAUUUACAAAAGAAAACAAGGCAUUGAAGCAAGAGAAAGAGAAAGAUCUUGUUAAAGUAAUGGAAGAUGAUAAAAGUAAUACUACUUCUUUGACCAAACAUGAAAUGAUUCCUAUACCUUUAACCCUGGAUGAUGUUGCACUCUACAACCCUGUUUUGGAAGCCAAGAUGUUGGGCAAUUACUGGAUAAACUAUGCUGACCAAAAGUCCAUCGACAACUAUGAAUAAUCUUAAUUGCAAAUUUGGUCCACUGACAAUACCUUGUGGAUGAUGGUGGUUAUGAGAAUUUCAAGAAAGUAGUCUGAGACAACAGAAGUAUCACUGGAUUAUUAUUUUUUUAAACAAGUACUACAACAAAUAUCUUAGCUUCCCAACACAUUUUGGCACAUCUGGAGGAACUGAUCUGCUCUUAUUGAAUUGUUUGGGCUGUUUAGCCCUGACUAAGCCUUCUGAUUUUUUCCCAUCUUUAUAGACUUCUUAUUUUCAUGUUCCCUGUAAGAGAGCAUAUGAAUCCAGAAGAAAUUUCCAUAUACAUUUCUGAAUAAUUGUGCAAUUAAGCUUGGUGGAAAGAAAAGCAGAAACAGACAACAGACGUAACAUGAAAGUUUUAGGAUCACAAAAACAAAGAGAUUCUCAUGCAUGCUUUUCAAUACUUUUUGCUCUUCUCCUGACACAUUUUUAUAAUCCUUCCUUCUUCAUGGGUUUCCUACCCCUUCUAUUAUUACAGUGUGUUUUCAUACAUAUCUUUAAAGAACAAAAUUAAAUUUACCCAAAUUAUAAAUAUUUGACAGCCAGAUAGAUGAAUGGUGGUGGUGGUGGUUGUUGUUGUUGACAUGCAGAGCUUCCAGGAAAUAGUUUUUCCACAAUCAUUGUUAUGAACCUUUCUUAAUUUUUAAAUAGCUUUUGUAGGAGAAACCUUUCCUUAAGGUAAAUAAAAAACCUGCCCCUAAACCCCCUAGAUGUGUGAAGAUUUGGCAAUAUAUUGCCCUCAGGUAUGUUAAGUACUUUAAAGCAUCCUGCCUAUUUCCUGUCAUUAUGGCCUCACUUUCUCUGUUUUGCUCCCUAGCCUUCCUAUUUCCAUCUCACCUACUUCUUUAGGCUGCCCCUGCUCCAAACAAACAUCUUGUUUCCCCUUUCAUAGUAGCAAGAAGCCAAGUUCAUUUUGUUGCCUUUGGAGCAGAAUGACCCAGGAACAGUGGAAAUAAGUAUGUAACAAAGUGAUCCUCUGCCCUGAUGGUGACAAAAGGCCAUCCCCUUCCUCAAACUUCCGUGUUUCAUAUUAUAUCAGUGGUUCUCAACCUGGGGGUCCCCAGAUGUUUUUGGCUUUCAACACCCAGAAAUCCUAACAGCUGGUAAACUGGCUGGGAUUUCUGGGAGUUGUAGGCCAAAACUAUCUGGGGAUCCCAGGUUGAGAACCACUAUUAUAUGAAUGUGGAAUAGUAUUAAUAAUGAGUAUCUAUAAUCUACUUGUUAUUAUGCAUCUUCAAGUCAUUUCUAACUCCAAGGCAACCCCAUCAUGGAGUUUUCAUACUUCAGUCUAUGUGUGAAAUGAAGAACAAAACACCAAAGUUACUAUUACAAGAUGAUGUUUCAAUUCAAUUAUUUGAAAAUUCUCUCUCAUCACUGAAGUGCACAUCUCUCAAACCUAAUUGGAAUUCUUUGAUCAGCAAGCAUGAGUAUAGUUCUUUAAAGCUGCAAUGCUGUUCCUUCUUUCUUCAGUUGUACUGGAAAAGAGACUCACACUAGAGUGGGGGUUGGUAGGCAAGAGUAUGGAGAUAUUAUUUUACAAGGUUUUAUGUGUUGUCAAAGGCUUUUAUGGCUGGUAGCAUUCUCUCUUGAUGUUUCGCCUGCAUCUGUGGCUGGUUUUCUUUUCAUCAGGAAUGAUUCAGUCUCCAAACUACUACUUAAUCAUGAUAUAUUUAUUUGGUAAGCAGAUACAGAAUACUGUAAGAUUAAGCAACAAACAGUUUUCUUUUUUAAAAGGGCCUUUGAACUUAGGAAGAUGCUACUGGCAGGGAAUUCAAAGUGAGCUCAGAAAAUGUAAGCUAUGACACCUAAAAUUGAAAUAAGAUUUACUAAAAUAAUCAGAUAUAAUUAUUAUUUCUUUCGAAUGGUUUAAUUUUUUUAAAAAAGCCCUGAUGGUUGAAAGAAAAGGCUUAGAAGGGUGUAAAUAACCACUGUUCGGGUAUUAAGGAAGUGAGAAGUGGUGUGUGACACAGAUCAGAGUUGGAAUUACUCUUGUUCUCACCAUCCAAGAAGGACCUGUUGAAAGGCAUAUGUGCCUUGCAUAUUCACAAAUAACCAGCAACAUGGGGAAUUAAUACCAAUGAGAAAACCAAUGAAUUCACUGCUUACACUUGGGAAAAACAGUUACUGCAAUAAUCACAUGUCUUAUAGCAAGCCUCCUUGAGAUCACUGAGUAUGCUCGGCAUCUACAUUGUAGAAUUAAUGCAGUUUGACAUCAGUGUAAGUGUGUUGCUUCAAUGCUACAGAAUCAUGUAAGUUGUAGUUUGGUGAGGUGCCAACAUUAUUUGUUAGAGAAGGCUAAAGACUUUGUAAAACUAUAACACCGACAGUUCCAUAGCAUGGAGCCAUAACAUUUAAAGUUGUGUCAAACUUCAUGUACCCUAAGUACCUGAGCAUAUAUUUGGAAUAACAGCAGUUCCUGCAAUUCAUUCAGGCCUUCACAGCUAUCAAUGCUUAAACAUGGAUCUGUUGGUAUGGCGGAGAACAUUUUUAACAGCAGAAGAGGUUGGUUUACCAAAACCUUGUCCGAGGUACAGUUUAGAGAGAGCAUCUAUGUCGAUUCUAUAUCCCUAAUACAUAUGCCAUUUCUGCCAAGAAGACAUUUGUCAUUUUUUUUUCAUUUUCUUGUAUACUUUAGACAGAACUGUCACUCUUGUGCUCAGUUUUGCCCCUAGAAAGUGCAGGCAGUGCCUGAGUUACAAACAUCAGAGCACAAAUGACUCAUAGUUAAGAUAACAGAUAGAGAGAGAAAUCUACUCUUCAGAAGGAAAAUUCACUCCUGGAAGAGUUUUCAUGGGGAAAAGGUGUCUCAAUUGAAGCUUUACCACCAAUCCUUGUUUCCACAACAAACCAAAUUUUUCAAAAUCCAAUUAUCACAGGGACAAAAAGUGAGGCGAAAUAUUCCGAACAAGGGCACAGACAGCAAAGCAAACACCACAGGGAUGUUAACCUUUUCCUAUGCUAUCAAAAGCUAAAAGAGAUAUAUAUAUUUGGCUGGAAUUAGUCUUAAAAUAUAUCUGUUCUAACUUAUAUACAAAUUCAGCUUUAAAAUAAACCUACAGAACCUAUCUUGUUCAUAACUUGGGGCUUCCUGUACUGAAGGUGUGCAAUAUGCUCUACCCAUCUGCAGUCUAACAAUGAAUUUUGAGGCAAGGCUGUGAAUGUAUUGGUUAGGAUUCAAAACACUGUUUUAUGCACAAGGCUUUCUUUUGGGAAGGGGGGGCUUAUUUACUUUUGUGUCUUCUAAAAGCUCUCCAGUCAAAAUGCAGUGAAUGGCUGGGAACAUUCCUUCCCUUUGAAGAAAGAAAGGAACUCCAUUCUCUGAGUUGUUUUGGUAUUUUUGGAACCUUAUUGGGAUAGCUAGAAGCUCUGGAAACAAAAUCCCAUGGAAUUUCCAGACUAGUAAAUAAACUCAUAAAUACUUUAGUAGUGAAAAUGUAAUUGUACUUCAGAAUGGGAAAACUGCAUGCUAUAUUUCAAUUCAAUAGUAUUUCAUAUAGUCCAAAUAAAACAAGUGAUGUUCACUAUAGUAGAAUGCGAAAUUCUUUCUUUCCAAGCUAAAGUGUUGGUGACUGAAAAAAGUAGUAUAUUUAACAAAUAGAAUAAUUAGUAUUCACAAGCAGAAGGUGAACAACAACUAGUCUAGCAGAAAUGUAUAGCAGGAUUAGUCAUCUUUGCAUAUUUCCUUCCUCAGAAAAUCCUAUGAAGUUUAUAGAGUUGCCAUAGGUUGAUAGGUAAGUCAAUGUGAUUCAGUAUCCUUAAAACCAGCAGAACGAAACUGAUUUAAAUACAAC
rnacentral:lncRNA from 11 species